AACGAACGCUGGCGGCAGGCUUAACACAUGCAAGUCGAACGGGUGUAGCAAUACAUCAGUGGCAGACGGGUGAGUAACACGUGGGAACCUUCCUAGGGGUACGGAACAACUCAGGGAAACUGGAGCUAAUACCGUAUACGUCCGUGAGGAGAAAGAUUUAUCGCCCUUAGACGGGCCCGCGUCGGAUUAGCUAGUUGGUGGGGUAACGGCCUACCAAGGCGACGAUCCGUAGCUGAUCUUAGAGGAUGAUCAGCCACACUGGGACUGAGACACGGCCCAGACUCCUACGGGAGGCAGCAGUGGGGAAUCUUGGACAAUGGGCGCAAGCCUGAUCCAGCCAUGCCGCGUGAGUGAAGAAGGUCUUCGGAUUGUAAAGCUCUUUUGCCAGGGACGAUAAUGACGGUACCUGGAGAAUAAGCCCCGGCAAACUUCGUGCCAGCAGCCGCCGUAAUAC
rnacentral:rRNA from 1 species